UACGGAGGGUGCAAGCGUUAUCCGGAUUUACUGGGUUUAAAGGGUGCGUAGGUGGGCAGGUAAGUCAGUGGUGAAAUCUCUGAGCUUAACUCAGAAACUGCCGUUGAUACUAUCUGUCUUGAAUAUAGUGGAGGUGAGCGGAAUAUGUCAUGUAGCGGUGAAAUGCUUAGAUAUGACAUAGAACACCAAUUGCGAAGGCAGCUCACUACACAAUCAUUGACGCUGAGGCACGAAAGCGUGGGUAGCAAACAGG
rnacentral:rRNA from 1 species